CAGAAAUCUCGUGUGGAAC
rnacentral:snRNA from 1 species